AUUUGCACCACACCUGGAACUGUUGAACAGCUCUUUCUUGCUCUGUGUCUCAUUCAAAUUUGACAGCCUUUAAUGUCACCUGUAAAACAUAUUCCCAAAGGUAGAAUAUGUUUUCUCCAGAGUCUGAGGAGGCCUACCAGAUGAGCUUUCUUAUCUGCUGGGCAAGAAUUUCUCCUUUUCUUUGGAGGGGAUGUCUAGUCAUGCUUCUGACUACCAAACCACUAAAGAUCUCACUGAUAUUAGGACUCUGCAGAAGGUUUUGUUUGUGGAAAGGCUUUUACUGCUGAAAGCUAACAGUAGGACAUUCUAUGGAAUACCUGACCAGUACUCCUUGAAACUUCAGUCACGAAAAACAAGGAGAGACUGAGAAACUCUCAAGAACCAGAGGAGACCAAGGAGACACAAACACCAAAUGCAAUGUGAUAUCCUGGGUGGAAUGCCGGAACGGAAAAGGGACCUUAGGAGAAAAAUUCAUGAAAUCCGAAUAAAGUCUGGAGUUUAGUUCACAGCAAAGCACCAGUGUUGACAUCUUCAUUUUGGCAAAUGUUCCAUGAUGAUGUAGGAGGUUAACAUUAAGAGAACUGGAUAAGGGAUAUAUGGGAACUUUCUGUACUUUCUUUUCAACUUUUCUAUAAAUCUAGAAUUAUUAAACCCAAAUUGUAAAAGUUUAUUUUUAAAAGAUAGCAUUCAAAAACCGUCAGACAAAUGAGCUCCAAAUACAUCCAGAGAUGAGAAGAAAGACGGUGACCUGAUUCUGGAAGUUCAGAUGUCCAUGUUGGUGACCUGAUUCAGGAAGUCUUUCAGGAGGAUAUCAAGCUUGGAUCUUGGAUAGAACUGGGAUGCGAGGCACUGGUGAUUGGGCAAUAUCCCUGCCUGUAGGAUUCUUUGUGGAAUGCUGGAUAUUCA
rnacentral:lncRNA from 10 species